UACGGAGGGGGCUAGCGUUGUUCGGAAUUACUGGGCGUAAAGCGCACGUAGGCGGCUUUGUAAGUUAGAGGUGAAAGCCCGGGGCUCAACUCCGGAAUUGCCUUUAAGACUGCAUCGCUAGAAUUGUGGAGAGGUAAGUGGAAUUCCGAGUGUAGAGGUGAAAUUCGUAGAUAUUCGGAAGAACACCAGUGGCGAAGGCGGCUUACUGGCUCGUUACGUGACGCUCAGGCGCGACAGCGUGGGGAGCAAACAGG
rnacentral:rRNA from 1 species